rnacentral:rRNA from 1 species
UACGGAGGGUGCAAACGUUGCUCGGAAUCAUUGGGCGUAAAGCGCACGUAGGCGGCUUGUUAAGUCGGAUGUGAAAGCCCCAGGCUCAACCUGGGAAGUGCAUUCGAAACUGGCGAGCUUGAAUAUGGAAGAGGGUCGCGGAAUUCCCGGUGUAGAGGUGAAAUUCGUAGAUAUCGGGAGGAACACCAGUGGCGAAGGCGGCGACCUGGGCCAAUAUUGGACGCUGAGGUGCGAAAGCGUGGGGAGCAAACAGG